rnacentral:lncRNA from 1 species
AGCUCACAGACGAUAACUAGAAGAUAAAUAGAUAAAUGACUACUUUUCUAUAAAAAUGUUGUGUAGACUUAAAUUAUUUAAACUAUGAAUAUUUGGUGAAAUGUAAUUGAAAUGAUUGAAUAAGCAUUUUAUUUUAUCUUUGUGAGAGUGGAAGAGGGGCUUUACCAUUGAUUCUGUUUAUUUACCACCUACAGGACAAUUCAUAUUUAUAAUUGUCUCAAGUCGCUUUUGUUCAGCUAUAUUUUUUUGAGUAACAUACAUCUUGCUUCUAAAAUUUCAAACUUAAUUGUAUAAGAUUAUUCAUUAGCAUAAGCUGCUACAACUAUAGUACCUUUCUUUUUUAAAAAAAAAUCUGUAAUUUUUUGAUUAACCUUACCAGAGGAUUAUUUUAUUAAUUUGUUCCAAGAAAUGUUUGUCUUUGCUGAACUUUGUUUGCUAUCUUUCUAUGUUCCAACCUUUAUUUCAUACUUUUUUAACUAGGACUGAACUCCUUUAAGUUUUAGGUUUAUUCUGGGGUUCUUGCUAAGAUUUCCUAGCUUGCAUUUCAGUUCACUAGUUUUGAGCUUUAUUACGUUCUAAUGUAGACAUAUUUUAGUCUAUUGUUUCCCUUAAUACAGCUUGUGGUGGGCAGAAGAUGCCCACAUAUUAAUUUCUGAUACCUGCGAAUAUAUUAUCUUAUGUGACAAAGAUACUUCAUAAGUAUGGUUAAAGUCAUUGAUAUAUGAAUAUUAUUUUGUAAUCUGGAUUGACCCAAUAUAAUCAUAAAGGUGCUACAGUGAAAAACACAAACAGAAACUCAAAAAUUUGAACAUGAUCUAUUUCUGGCUUUGAAGAUGAAGAAACGAGCCACAAAUCAAAGAAACCAAGUUGUCACUAGUUACUGGAAAUGUUCAGGCAAAAUGUUCUCUCCAAAAUCCUCCAUAAGAAAUGUAGCCUUUCUUGUAUCUUGAUUUGAUCCCAGCAAAGCCUAUAUCAGAUUUCUGACUUCCAGAACUGAGAUAAUAAUUUUGUGUUGUUUAAGCCACUAGGUUAAUGCAGUUUGUUACAGCAGCAAUAGUAACCUAAUACAGUGCUUUUUUUCUUUUUUUUUCCUGCAACAUCCUACUAUCACCUGGGUUAUCACCUAUUAUUAGAGGUCAAAUUUUCCUGUUUACUUUAAUGCCAAAAUUAAGGUUUUUCUAAUUUAGUUAGAUUUUGGUUAAAUAAUAGGCUCUGUAUUAGAGUAUUCCUAAUGGAAUAUGUGGCCUAAUAUUUGACCAUUUAUUAUAAAUUUCAUGUUUCAUCUACUGAAAAAGUGUAUAGAAUAUUGCGCUCUAAAAUAAGUAGUAUACAAUUUUCUAUAAACUGGAAGUAUAUCAAGUUGGUAAUAUUUUCAAUUUGAUUUGCUAUAUUUUUGUUAACCUACUUAUAUAUUUUUAAAAUUUGGCUUUCUAUUCAACCAAUUGCUAAAAGAGUUUAUCAAACUCUUUUCACAUAACAUUUUUGUAUGUUAUUUUUGUAUUUGUGUUUCAGCUCUGUUUUCAAACUUUGUUAAUCUGUAUAUACACAUUUAGAACUGAUGUAUCUUCCUAAUCAAUUACAAUUUUAAACAUGUGCCAUCUUUAUUUUUCUCUUACUGUUUCCCCCAUUAUAAUUCCUCAUUACAAUUUUUCCUCUUUAGUCAUUUCAGUGAUAAAUUUUGAAAGUUGUUCUUUAUAUUUCAGUAUCUAAUUUGUGGUUUUAUAUAGAAUGACCAUGCUGGGUAGGUAUUGUUCUGUUUUGAUGAAAUGAAAACUACAAUUUGUGACUUGAAUUCUGACAAUCAAAUUUCACUUUAUAUCUCCACACUUAUCUAUCGUUAAAAUAAAAAAAAAAUACUAGUUAAUAUUGUACCCACCAAAAUCUUGAAAGAAUUUGAAAAGGACUUUAUGAGUAAGAUGAUGAUUGCCUACGUUUUCCCUGCUUAAAAGAUAACACAAGUCUAUGAUAACUCAAGUCUAUGAUUCAAAAAUGACUAUGUAGAAAGGAUUUUACUUCCAUUUUAAAUUAAUACAGUAAAAUAAAACAAAAAUAAUUUACUUGAUUUCCUUGACAAAAUAAGGAAUGCUUUGCUGUUUCUAGAGCACGCCAUAAUGCAAGCAAGGAUCAGUUUGCGGUGUUGAUAAAGCACUUGUGUAUACAUUUACUAGGGUGAAACAGAACCAUAGUAAAUAGCAGUGAAACUGUUUAUUUAGAAACUGUGGUGUUAAUUUGCAGUAGGUCUCAAUGUGUCCAGGGAAAUCUUACUUUCUAGUAGAAUCAAAGCCUAGAUUUGGGUGAGAAACAUAGAUAAAAUGUUGAAAAUUUGUCAUUAUGGUAUUUUAUACAAGUCAAAUGAAUUGAAGGUUAUAGAUGUUGGUGUCACAAAAGAAGGAAUAGAUCAGAAAAAAAUAUUUAAAAUACCAAAAAGGAAUUGUACAAAUCCUGGUUAAUGUCUAUAAGGUACAAAACUAUUAACCAGAAAUGUGUAUUCAGGAUUCAGAAACAAUGUCAUAAAAUCAAAUUGAAAGGCCAGAUACCCAUAUAGUUAUAUCUCUAGUCAGUGUGUAAUAUUAAAUCCAUAGGAGGCAACUUCCACUUGGGUCAAAGUACAAAACUUGCUGUAUGGUCUUAGCAAUUUGCUCAUAUGAGUAGUCACAAAAUUAUGCAUCUUUCACGAAAAUCUUUGCCAAAUGUUUUGGUAAUUUCUAGCAUACAAAAAUACAUAGACUUUUCUUGAAAAGCAGCAUCAUAAAUGAAAGAUAUAGAGAUGGAACAAACAAAAGAAACUCUCAUUGAUAUUAAUGAAACUUUUCUGACUCUACCAUUAGCAAUCUGGCUCAUACAGAUAGGAAAAAGAAAUAAGAGACAGUGAGAAGCACUUUAGAAUUUAAUACUCAAGAUAUUUUUAUAAUGAUUUAAUUUUUUCCAUUAUAGCUGGUUAACAGUGUUCUGUCAAUUUUCUACUGUACAGCAUGGUAACCCAGUUACACAUACAUGUAUACAUUCUUUUUUCUUAUAUUAUCAUGUUCCAUCAUAAGUGACUAGACAUAGUUCCCUGUGCUACACAGCAGGAUCUCAUUGCUUAUCCAUUCAAAAGGCAAUAGUUUGCAUCUAUUAACCCCAAAUUCCCAAACCCUCCCCCUCUUCCUUGGCAACCACAAGUCUGUACUCCAUGUCAAUGAUUUUCUUUUCUGUGGAAAGGUUCAUUUUUGCCGUAUGUUAGAUUCCAGAUUCAAGUGAUAUCAUAUGGUAUUUGUCUUUCUCUUUCUGACUUCACUUAGUAUAAGAGUCUCUAGUUCCAUCCAUGUUGCUGCAAGUGGCAUUAUUUUGCUUUUUUUAUGGCUGAGUAGUAUUCCAUUGUGUAUAUAUAUCAUAUCUUCUUAAUCCAAUAAUCUGUUGAUGGACAUUUGAGUUGUUUUCAUGUCUUGGAUAUUGUGAAUAAUGCUGCAAUGAACAUGUAGGUGCAUGUGUCUUCUUCAAGGAAAGUUUUGUCUGGAUAUACGUCCAAGAGUGGGAUUGCUGGGUCAUAUGAGCACCUGAGUAUAAACCCAGGACAUGUCCAUAGUGAUCAACGCAGGCACAUCUCUGACUGAGGUUGCUAUGGGUCUCUGUGACAUUAAUCAUAGAGGAUCCCUUCAUAACCCUGGUGUGCAGUCCUCUGGAAACUUGCUGACAAAGGCCUGCAAUCGCCUGAGGAUGUUACUAUUCUCAACUUGCAGUUGUAACAGAAAACAAAGUAAAAUGCUAUAUAGCAUAAUGGGUUCAUCUAUGUCUUGGAAAUCAUACUGCAACCAUCAUUCUAAUGGUAAAUAAUUUUACUUUUAGUUAUGCAAACUGAAUAUUUUCUUAACUGAAAAUAAAAUCUUUUACGGCAAGAAAAGUGCAUUACUUUUAGAGACAGAGAGCUGAAAUAAAAAAUCUUACUCAGGUAUCUUUUAGAAAAUUGACCUUAGGCAAGUUGGUUGACUUAUGAUUCUCAGUUUAUGUAUCUGUGAAGUGGGCAUAAUUUAUCUCACACAUUUAGCAUAGCUUGGAUAAUAUACUGAGUCUUUACAAAUGGUACCAGCUAGUGUUAUUACCCCUAGACUCUACUUUUGGCAAUUUAUGCAGAACAGUGAGAUCAAUUUUCUUCAAUUGUAAAACCAUAUUAUUAGGCAGAAGCCUAUACUUUAGAAACACAGAUUGCAAUUGAGUUUGCAAGUUAUACUGUAAAUUGGGUUGGCAUAAGAUACCACUCUCUGUUGUUCUCCUUACAUGAAAUGGAUUCGUUUCUAUAUUCAGACAGAAGCAAGCAAGGGUAGUGUCCAUUUAUGAGGCAUUAAUAAAGAAUUUGGGCAUUGAAAUAUUAAGUCAAGAAGUUGAAACUGGAAGUUCUCAAAAAUAACAUGUGGUACGGAAAAGAUAUAACCAGAUUGAGCAGAGUCAAAGCUCAGGCACAAAGCAGAAAUAUGGUGAUAGGUAGGGAGAUACUAAUGGAAAAUAUGCUUAAAUAAAACUUAUGGUCUAGGAGUUCCCAUUGUGGCUCAGUGGUUAACAAACCCACUAUCAUCCAUGAGGAUGGCCUCGCUCAGUGGGUUAAGGAUCUGGCGUUGCUGUGAGCUGUUGUGUAGUUCGCAGACACAGCUCAGAUCACGGCUUGCUGUCGUUCUGGCAUAGGCCGGCAGCUACAGCUUCAAUUCAUCCCCUAGCCUGGGAGCCUCCAUAUGCUGCCAGAGCGGCCCCAAAAGACAAAAAGACAAAAUAAACAAACAAACAAACACAAGACUUAUGGACCAAAGGCUUAUGAAAAAAAUGUUAAGCAUUAUAAAACAAUGUGAAGUUUUCCUUAAACUUGUGAUCCAUCUUCCCUUUCCUCCUUUCCUUCUUUUCAUUAUGCCAAUAAGAGGUAGUUAAUUAUUUUAGAUGUUCAUUGAAGAUUCCUUUAUUUUUUUAUUAGGAAAAUCCUCAAACAUACAGUAAAGGGAAAAUAUGAAGAAAAUAUUAAAAAUAAUAUUUCAUAAUAGUGGCAGCAAAUGUUAGCUAGCUAUGCUUCAUUGAUUUUUUCUAAAUAAUUUUAAAUACAAUCACAGACAUCUUGAUAUUUCACCCUCAAAUAUUUCAGUUAUACACUUCUAAAAAAUGAAGUGUAGUUUCAUGAUGACAUUUUAACACUAAUGUCCUAGUCCCGUCUAAUUCAUAGCCCAUAUUUGAAUAUCUGCUAUUUUUUCUAAAGUAUAUUUUGUACAUUUUUUUGUUUAAAACAAGAUAGAAGCAAGAAUUAUAAAUUACAUUUCACUGCUAGACUCUUAAAUCUCUCUCCACUUAUUCUGUAAUGUUGAAUUGUUAAAAAAAGUAGUCCAGUUGGCAUGUGGCUGUUGACAUAAUAAUGUUUAAAUAUGUUUGACACUCAUACGUCACAGGCGAUGCUGUGCAUUUGUAAGAUUUCAAAUCAAAAGGCGUCCAAAGGGCUGGUCCUCCCACCAUAAUGUUGCCAUGAGUAAUCAUCUGGUCAACACAUGGACAUCCAGAUCCCUGUCAAACCUUGCCCAUCACAAAACAAUAUAUGAGCUGAUAGGUAGCAUGUUCUCUCUCAUUCUCCAUUAAUCCUUUACCCAAGGAUUUCAGUACGUGUGGAUCAUCUAUUUCUCCAGAGGCUAAAAGUUAAUAUCCGACCCUGCUGUUCAAUAAGCAUUCAUUAUCUGUUUUAUUACAUAAAGAAAAACCCUCAGUGUCCUCUUAUGGUGCAGCGGGUUAAGGAUCUGUCGUUGUCCCUGCAGCAGUUUGUGUUGCUGCUUGGCCACGGGUUCCAUCCCUGGCCCAGGAACUUUUAGCAGGUAUGGCCAAAAAGUGAAGAAAAAAAAAAAAA